rnacentral:rRNA from 1 species
CCUACGGGAGGCAGCAGUGGGGAAUAUUGGGCAAUGGAGGAAACUCUGACCCAGCGACGCCGCGUGCGGGAUGAAGGCCUUCGGGUUGUAAACCGCUUUCAGUAGGGAAGAAGCGAAAGUGACGGUACCUACAAAAGAAGCACCGGCUAACUAUGUGCCAGCAGCCGCGGUAAUACAUAGGGUGCAAGCGUUGUCCGGAAUUAUUGGGCGUAAAGAGCUCGUAGGUCGUUUGUUACGUCGGAUGUGAAAACCUGAGGCUCAACCUCAGGCCUGCAUUCGAUACGGGCAAACUAGAGUUUGGUAGGGGAGACUGGAAUUCCUGGUGUAGCGGUGGAAUGCGCAGAUAUCAGGAGGAACACCAAUGGCGAAGGCAGGUCUCUGGGCCAAUACUGACACUGAGGAGCGAAAGUCUGGGGAGCGAACAGGAUUAGAUACCCUGGUAGUCCAGACCGUAAACGGUGGGCACUAGUUGUGGGAACCUUCCACGGUUUCUGCGACGCAGCUAACGCAUUAAGUGCCCCGCCUGGGGAGUACGAUCGCAAGAUUAAAACUCAAAGAUAUGCGNGNGAGAGCGACGAGACGACGAGAGGAG